rnacentral:tRNA from 1 species
GGUCGGCCUCGGCGGCGGCGGGCAUCACGCGGCCUCCCGCGCCGCCGGCGUCGGCGGCGGCCGCCGGGUCGGGGGCUCCGCCGCCGCCGCCGCCGCC